rnacentral:tRNA from 1 species
CAGGGUAUAGGUCAGUGGUAGAGCCCUUGCUUAUCAUGCAUGAGGCCCUGGGUUUGAUCCCCAGCACUAUGA